CGAAUGGCUCAUUUAAAUCAUUGUAGUCUCUCGCUAAUCACUUUCUACAUGGAUACCCGUGGAACUAGGCUAAUACAUGCACUAAGCCCCGACUUUAAAAAGGGGUGUGUUUAUUAGAUCUGAAGCCAACCCGCUUCGGCGGACCUUGGUGAGUCAUAAUAACCUUCGAAUCGCAUGUCCUAGCGACGGCGAUGCAGCGUAUGAGCUUCUGACCUAUCAAGCUGAUGGUAGGGUAUUGGCCUACCAUACGUUAUGACGGGUAACGGAGGAUUAGGGUUCGAUUCCGGAGAGGGAGCCUUAGAAACGGCUACCACAUCCAAGGAAGGCAGCAGGCGCGCAAAUUACCCAAUCUCGAUACGHGGAGGUAGUGACAAGAAAUAACAGAUGCAGG
rnacentral:rRNA from 1 species